rnacentral:rRNA from 1 species
AAGAGUUGAUCAUGGCUCACCAUGAACGUAGGCGGCGUGCCUAAUACAUGCAAGUCGAGCGAAUGGAUUAAGAGCUUGCUCUUAUGAAGUUAGCGGCGGACGGGUGAGUAACACGUGGGUAACCUGCCCAUAAGACUGGGAUAACUCCGGGAAACCGGGGCUAAUACCGGAUAACAUUUUGAACCGCACGGUUCGAAAUUGAAAGGCGGCUUCGGCUGUCACUUAUGGAUGGACCCGCGUCGCAUUAGC